UCAUGACCUGAGCCGAAGGCAGAGGCUUUAACCCACUGAGCCACCCAGGCGCCCCGGGUUCUGUAUUUUCUUAAAUACCUAGCUGCUUCUCUGCACUUUGGGGGGCAGAGCCCAACCACUUACUGUCAUCUUCAAGGUCAAGAGCUUCAGCUAGCCCAUUACUGUGUCAUGUUAUUCUCGGUGAUGGAGAAUCGGGGCAGGGGGGUGGGUGGCUAGACCCUGAGUAGUGAAAAAAAAUUUUUUUAAACCCCAUCUAUUAGUUAUAUCUGCCACUCCCAUGCCAUUUCUUCUUUUUGAUAUUUGCUUGUGCAGUAAAAGAGACUUUGCUUAAAUCCUGCACACUAGAGUGCAUGUACCUCUCUGUAUUUGUGAUGGCCAGAUAGGCCUACCAGCCAAGUAUGUUCCACAAAGGGAGCCCGAGGACAUCCAUAGACCAGAAAAAGGGCACCCUAAGGGAGGGAUACCACCCCUUGAGCAAAGGAGAGACCAAGUCCCAAACUGUAGCUACAGGGAACAUCAGCCAGCCUCUGCUAUCCCACUCCGCCCUUCCCUGUGCUGGAAAAGGGGGCUUAUGAAUGGACUAGCUAGGGGCCAGGGGGCGUCUCUGCAGGAUCCUGGCAGCAUGCCUCUGACUCACCCAGGAGCUCGAGCAUCAUCACUGCUCAGUGUCCACCCUGCUAGCAACAGAGACCAAUGCCCAGCCUCUGAGUCAGCCCACGUCUGGAGACCAGCUAGCCACUUGGUACUACAUCUGUCCCUCCUACGCCAGGAAAGGAUGAGCCUCAAGGUGUAACCCGACAAAGAGACGUUUCAAUGGGAAAAAGAGUUAUGUUUUGUCAAAGAUCAACAAAGCCAGGGUCAAGGUGCGGGAGGUAAAAACAGACCGGGGACUCCCACAGAGUCGGGGACUGAGAAACCGCAAGAAGCAGCUAAGACGGUUGGUCAUUGUCAUUGUCAAAGUCAUGAGGUGCUUUGUGAAGUCAGGCUUCUCCCUCCCUCUGAGACAGGGAGACAGAGGCCCCAGCCUUCCUGAGGACGCCAUUUCAGAGAGACAUUUCAGAGAAGGGACUUAAAACAGUUCAAGGUUUUUCUACAAAGGCUCUAAGAACGGGAGGUCAGAAGCCCGUCUUCUGGGGCUGGCUGGAACAAACAGUCAAUUCUUUCAUCAACCUUUAACUUUGCCAGACUGGCACUCAAGGGGGCUGGGUCAUCCCAGUGGCCUUAGGCUUAGGUCUUGGGCUGCCAGAAGCUGCAGGAGAAUUUGGGCAAAGUCUGUUAGUGCAAGGGAUGUGGACAGAGUCGGCGUGCGGAGAGUUCUUGUAGAUGUCGCUUCACAGCAGAAAAGCCAGCAGACCUCAUGUUAACGGCACAGUUCAAACAUUUCCAGGAACAAGCCUUACUUGG